rnacentral:rRNA from 1 species
GUCGAGAAUCUUUCACAAUGGGGGCAACCCUGAUGGAGCGACGCCGCGUGGAGGAUAAGGUCUUCGGAUUGUAAACUCCUGUCAUGCGUGAACAAGGUUGCUUGGUUAAUACCUGGGCAAAUUGAUGGUAACGCAAGAGGAAGAGACGGCUAACUCUGUGCCAGCAGCCGCGGUAAUACAGAGGUCUCAAGCGUUGUUCGGAAUCACUGGGCGUAAAGGGUGCGUAGGUGGCGUGGUAAGUCAGAUGUGAAAGCCCGGGGGUCAACCUCGGAACUGCAUCCGAUACUGCCAUGCUAGAGUAAUGGAGAGGUGACUAGAAUUCUCGGUGUAGCAGUGAAAUGCGUAGAUAUCGAGAGGAAUACCAAAGGCGUAGGCAGGUCACUGGACAGUUACUGACACUGAGGCACGAAGGCCAGGGGAGCGAACGGGAUCAGAUACCCUAGUAGUCC